GUGGGCCCCGGCCCCUCCAUGUCUGACAGAACUGCUCUGCUUCUCCUACAGUCCCUGAGAUUCUGCAGCUCAGCGAUGCCCUGCGGGACGACAUCCUGCCCGAGCUUGGGGUGCGGUUUGAAGACCAUGAAGGACUGCCCACGGUGGUGAAACUGGUAGACAGAAACACCUUAUUAAAAGAGAGAGAAGAAAAGAGACGAGUUGAAGAGGAGAAGAGGAAGAAGAAAGAGGAGGCGGCCCGGAGGAAACAGGAACAAGAAGUAAUGCAUUUUGUUUGGGGGUGAGGGCUCUCCUGGGCAGGAGUGCACCCUGACCCCAUGCCCUGUGGCUCUCUGUGCCUCCGUGGACCUUAGCCAGGCCCCUGCAGACCCUCACAGAAGGAGCUCCACUUUCUGCCUCCACCACGCAAGGCCUGCCAGGCCCUUGUCACAUGGGGUGCAGGGAAGGCCUGGCCAAGGGGAAGCCUGUGCUAUUUGGUCACAAGCUCCAAGACAGCGUUUAUAGACUUACUACUAUUAGGGUUUCUAGUAAGCUUUCCACUAUUCCUGUAGAAGUAACAUCUGGUUUAAUUUUAAAUUCCUUGUAUGUUCCCUCCACCUUGGCUUUCCCCUUCCCAUCUUUCAUAGCACUCUGAAUCUGAGGGCUUGGAAGCAAGUUGAGGGCUGGAGGUAUGAGCAGAUGUCGUUCACAGUGUGGAGCCCCAGGUGCUGCUCGGUGGCAGUGACUGUGCCAUGUUGCGUGUUGUAGGCAGCAAAGCUGGCCAAGAUGAAGAUUCCCCCCAGUGAGAUGUUCCUGUCAGAAACCGACAAAUACUCCAAGUUUGAUGAAAAUGGUCUGCCCACACACGACACAGAGGGCAAAGAGCUCAGCAAAGGGCAAGCCAAGAAGCUGAAGAAGCUCUUCGAGGCUCAGGAGAAGCUCUACAAGGAAUAUUUGCAGAUGGCCCACAAUGGAAGCUUCCAGUGAGGGGCACAGGACUGACUUUUUAAACCAUUGUGGACUAGUGGCUGCUGUCUGCCUCAGUGACAACGCCCCAGUGCUCCAAUCAUGUUUACAGUCGCCCUUGGGUCCUAAAUUAAGAGUUGUGUUCAUGUAGGUUCAUGUCGUCGUUGGCUCUGAGACAUUGAUAAUAAAUUUUUCUGAACAGUGA
rnacentral:sRNA from 1 species